rnacentral:rRNA from 1 species
UGGGGAAUUUUCCGCAAUGGGCGAAAGCCUGACGGAGCAAUGCCGCGUGGAGGUGGAAGGCCUACGGGUCGUCAACUUCUUUUCUCAGAGAAGAAACAAUGACGGUAUCUGAGGAAUAAGCAUCGGCUAACUCUGUGCCUG